rnacentral:tRNA from 6 species
AGAAAGAUAGUUUAAUUGGUAGAACUUUGGUUUCCAAAGCCAACGGUUGGGGGUUCAAAUCCCUCUCUUUCUG